rnacentral:lncRNA from 1 species
ACUAGGUGCCAUCACCAUCGUUAAGGAGAAUUUUGACGACCAAGCCUUAUGGCCAAAGUCGAUGCAGUGAACGAACCAUCCCCUCUAUGACUCUGGUACUCUGGUAGUAGUAGUCGGCCUACGGCCGAAAGACACCUAGUGACAAGAACCGCUUUGGUUACAUCAGUUUUGUUGACAGUUUGGUUACUGGCGGUUUUAUAUGGUUAAAAACUACUACUACGGAUUUAUAUGGUUACAAAGUGGGAAAAUUCGUGUGGUAAACUAAGAAGGAGCAGCUGACUAGGGCAACUGAAAAUGUACUGCAAUGUUUUCAUGUAAUUCUGCAGCCAUAUAACCUGGACUCUGGCUCAUCGGACAUUGAACUGGAGAAUAGGUUACAACUAGCCGCUGCCAUGAGAAAAGAGCCAAAUCAGAUUUUUCUAGCUUUACUAAAUAGUAUGUUAACAAAUGCCUGUUAACUUUCCUAAUCAUCACCUCCUACGUACGUUAAACUGUGAAGUGAAGUGUGUCGAGAAAAUGGCUGUAGGAAAAGUGGGGUUGCCCUUAAACAAGACGCUUGAUCAAAUCAAGUGUGCUGAACAAGUUAGCCUUUGGCUUCGUCUCUUAACUAUAAAAUUUUAUUUUCUGAGUUUAAUGUGUAUACGUUGUUUAAACAGUAUCUUUACCUUGAUUGUAUUGGUUGUCUCACACCAUAGAAAUCUAAUUUCUACUGACGAACUCGUACAGGAAGAAAAAAGGU